ensembl:lncRNA
UUAAUAGUUAGAUUUCUAAAAUUAUUCUUUUCCAUUCGGAAAAAAUAUGCUGUACUUUGUUCUCCUUGCUCUAGCCACCUUUUUCUAGAGCGAAUAAAAGCGCACUCUGCCUUAUUCUUAUACAUUGAAUCUAUCUAACUGAGUUUGCAGAUCAAUAAAUUCUGCCAAUUCAGCUUCUGACAAACCAACCUGCAUUUUACCAGAGAGAGUCAUUAUUUUGGAAAUGACUGACUCCUCUUCAAGUCUUUUACGUUUAGCUAGAAGGCUGCCAAAAUUCCUAGCACACUUGCUAAUUUCAUGUUUAAGUAAUUCCCAAUUGAGGCUGAAUUUAUUUUCCUUUUGUGCUUUGAUCCAGUAAUCCCUCACAGCAACAUCUCUUCUCUGAUGAUGUGUGCACUGAGGCAAGGGCAGCACACCUGUCACUCACAUGAUCACAGCAGUUAGCAAACAACAAUUAUCCAAUUGUUAUAUCUGUUCAUUACCUUCCAUUGUUUUUAUUUUUUUAUUUUUUACUUGUGUUUAUUCCCACUCUCAUUUGUUGCCUUCAUAAUUAAUUUGGUCAGUAAUAAAAUAAUCCUACCUGUGUCUUGGUUUUUUUUUUGGCACAGUCGAUGUAUAACCCAUGUUUACUUAAAGGGGUCAUAUGACGUGAUUUCAUGUUUUUUUUUUUUUUUGUCUUUGGAGUGUUACAAGCUGUUUGUGCAUAUAUAUCAGUAAAGUCGCAAAGAUGAAAGUCUCAAACCCAAAGAAAUAUUCUUUCUAAAAGUUAAGACUCAUCCACGCCUUCCUAAAACACCUCAUUCAAACAUGCCCCCACAUAUACAUAUCUACAUCACUGUGUGGCAAGAUUUUCAUAACACCGCCCAAAUGUAUAUGCAAAGAAAGAAGACAUAACUUUUAUUCUCGCUGUAGUAUUGUUGCUCCCACCGUCAUGAUAAUCCAAAUAUGGUAAGGGGAGUAACAUUUCCGUCACACGCUUGAGGUAUCCGGCCAAUCACAAUACACAGGAUAGCCGGCCAAUCAGAGCACACCACACUUUCCAGAAUGAUGAGCUUUGUAAAAGUCAACACGUUUCAGAAAGGCAUGGCAGAGAGGAGCAACAAUCAUGUAUGGUAUGUGGAAAAAUAAUGUGUUUUUGAACCUUAAACCACGUAAACGCUAUUCACAAUUACACUAAAUACACAAAAUAAUGUUCUUUUUAGCAACGUCAUAUGACCCCUUAGAUCCUGUGUUUGUUUCUGUAUUGCUGAGCGUUUUGUUUUCAUUUAAUAUCAUUAGGAUCCUGCCUCGACCACACCAUGAUAGAAGAAUGGAAACAUGGAUAGCAGCAGCUUUUGUGGAUCUUGAUCUAAGAAAGAAUUUCUUUGUGUUGUUGCCCCUGAAUUAUGGAACUCUCUUCCCAGAUCACUCUGUCUUGCCAAUAACCUGUCUGAAUUUAAAUUGCUGCUCAAAACUCAUUUGUUUUCACAAUGUUACCUUUCUUAUGUUGACUUCUGUUUAUUCUGUUUUAUGUUGUCUUAUCCAUAUAUUACUCUCUGGAUGUCUGAUGUUCUCUUUACGUUACUUUCUGUAUUAUUGUUUAAUUGUUUGUUUGAUGUUAUCCUCAUAAUUCUGAUGUUUAUUGCAAAGCGUCCUUGAGCUCUGGAAAGGUGCUAUAUAAAUAAAACUUAUUAUUAUUAUUAAAAUUCAGUGAGGUUUUGUGAGUUGGUGAGGUGCACCAUCUAAGACGAAGCAAACCUGUAGAUGACGUUUUGGGUUGGUCCCAAUUAUAAUGGGUAUGUGGACAAGCCAGAAAUGGAGAAUAAUAUAUACAUCCUCCUUUGCUUGAACUUCCCCUACCCAUUGUCGGUGUCCUCGCCCAUGCCCAUCGUGGACCCUCAGUCAGAGGUCAUAUUCAUCCCAGAGCCAGCUGCCAAGUCCACCUACAGCGCUUGCUGUCCUGUCCAUAUUUGAGCCAGCAAUGGCAGCACUGAUGACGGUGGAGUAAACUCCUAUCCAGGCUGCCGCCUUGGAAUUACUUUCCCCUGAAAGACUCUGGCUUGUUAGACUCCCCAGCUCCAUCUUCCUCUAGUUCCAUUCAGCCCUAGAGACUCCCUAAUAACCUGUCCCUAGCACUGCACAUUUUAUGUCUCCCUCAUCUAACACACCUGAUUCUAUUCAUCAGCUCAUUAGUAGAGACUGCAAGACCAUUAAUUGGGUAUGUCUGAUAAGGGAGACAGUGCAGUGCUAGGGGUCCUCUAAGACCCCUACCGGAACCCUUCCUUCUGUACAAAAGCUGCCAGACUCUUUGUCUCCUCGUUCUCCAGCUGUGCUAGCUCUCUUGGUGUGACCAUGGUCUCCUGUCCCACAAGAAGCACUCUCAGCAACCUGGGACUUAUGGCCCUCCGGCUCCACCACAUCCCUCCGAGUCCAUAACUCUGCUUUGGCCCUUCAACCCACCUCAACCAGGCUCCCGCGUCCCUCCAGCUCCGACUUGGUCUGUAAUUCCCCUGGCUUUGUCAUGGACUUCCAGGCCUUUUCCUGCAUGUGGGCCCUUCACCCCUGUUGCUCCACUGUCAUCCAUGCCUGUCUCAGUUUUCCUUUUUCCUGGCUAUGUCUUACUACUCUGACCCUUCAACCCCGCCUUGGUAGACUUGUGCCGAUAUUCGAUAAUGCGAUAUAUCGCGGUAGUGAAUAUGCACGAUAUUGUUAUCGUGGGCACUUCCAAAUACCGAGAAUAAUUAUAUAUUACAAAUUAUUCAGAAUUUGAAAUGCAUUUUAAGAAUACUUUUCCCAUCAACUGGUCAAAAUGCACAACACCGUUGUAUGCUGCUUUAAAGACGCAUGUGAACCCUGAUGUAAACAAGCACGCACGAGAAGCACAUGGAGGAACACGUGAGAGAUGCGCUGAAUGAAAGCACAUUCACUCUCUGACAGCAGAUGGCGCUAAACUGCAGAAAAUGCAGCCCUUACCCUGG